CGACAGCGGUCAUUAGUUAAAGUAGGCAUGCCUGCAUCCUAUUAUCGUGGUGACUGUCUGCCGCACUCGGCUGCGCAGCCAUCAUGCACAAUCAAUCAUCCAAGUAGCGCUGUAGUAGGAAUUCCUAUUCCAUUGAUGAGUGAGGAAGACAAUAUUGGGAGUGAGCGAUCUGAGCUUCCCCCAAUUUCGGCUAAGCUCAUGAGAUAAGCCGAUCCAUGCACGGCAGUGGCUCGCAUGGAUGUCCAUGUGAGUCAGGUCCGAGAAAAAUUGGACAAACAGGAAAUGCCCACUAAUCAGGGGUGUUGUGUGCCCGGCUGUACUCUUGAGGGACAAGAUCUUCCUCGGGUACAUGCUUUCAGGCAUCACAUCCCAGGAAUAUUUGAUGAUCGUUUGCCAUGUAAUGAUGCAUCAGUAGUUAAAGGACGAGUAAUGGCACUGACCCAGGUGGCGACAUGGUUACUCCGCCGUCCUUGCGUAUUGUCUGAGCUGGUUGACCUUGUUAACCGACAAAGAGUGCUUGCACCUUUGUCUGGCGUUCGAGUGUCCCCAGAUUGUAGGCAAGCGAUGGUGGAAGUAUGUAACUAUUUGGGGGUUUCGGUCCCUCAACAAUUUGUCCUGUCACCUGCCAACUCCCCUGCCGUGUUAAUUCACUGGCGCGUACUUAUUUUACUAGCUGCAAUCCUUCAGUCAGAAUACAGGGAUUAUUGGAGAUCGGUUUUCCCAUGUCCUUCUGACAUACAGCUUAAGUCAGUUAAGAGUCUACCGGUGGCCUUCGAUUCGCAUUUUCAUAUUGACCGGUUGAGAAAUGCGGCUCAGGCCCCUUGCAUGCCGGUUGAUGAGUUGAUGGAGCUGGGUCAGGUGGAGGAUCACCAGCUAGUAAGAUUGGUUGGUGGCAUUGGGAUCUUUUGUGAUCCCAACACCUUCCCAUCCUCCCAAGACAUGUCAGGUCUGCCAUCCAAUGUUGGAGUGGUAGUCGGACUGCACCCAAAACACUCUACUAUGAGCAAUGACCGCAUUAACAAUGCUCUAGAUCGCGACCGCAAUAUGCUCAAGUGUGAAAGGGUAGUUGGUCUUGGUGAAAUUGGUCUGGAUCACUCAGUACCUGAUAAACAGUGACCACGCCAGAAUGAUUUAGUGCGUGCAAUGUUGCACUUGAUCAAUGAUCGCCAUGUGGUGGUCGUUCACUGUCGUGGGGCAUCUGGUGACAGUGGAGUUGAGGCCUAUCUUCUGCUUCUGCACCUUCUGAGUCCCAUUUCAAGGACACAGAGAUUUCAUGUCCAUUGUUUCACGGGCGACACAUAUGUCUUAACAAAGUGGCUUGCAGCCUUCCCGAACACUUUCUUCAGUUUUAAUAGAAAAGUUCAGGGAUUGAGUCUGGACCAAUCUGAGGCUUUACGCUCUCUUGAUGAAAACAAGCUCCUUCUUGAGACAGAUGCUCCCUACUUCCGUGCAACUGGCCAGUGGUUUUCAGCACCAAAUCAGCUCUUUCAAAUUGCUGAAGGUGUUGCCAAGUGCCGAAACGUACCGGUAGAGCAUGUCCUUGAGGUGAGCUGCAAUAAUGCCCUCAGAUUGUACAGAAUGCAGUAGUCAUCUCUGUGCUGUAGGUUUCUUGUUAUUGGAUACUUGAGUGAUUCAUAAAAAUAAUUUGUCAUCUUCAAGCCAAGAUGAGAAAUUCAUGCAUUUAAAUUGUGUAACAUUCUUAGAAGUAGAGGUUAUCUUUAAUAAUGCAUAGGCUUUAAUUUGUUAUCUUUAAGUAAAGAUGAUAAAUUCAUGUAUUUAAUGUUAUAUGUGUACCUCCUCAGAAGAACUGAGUAGAGGUCACCUUCAAUGUUCCUUUUAGGAUCCUGAUUAAUUUACUUGUUAAAUACCUGUAAAUUCAGUAAAUAUAGGAAUUACCUGUCUGCACCUGGAUGUAUAACUUAUAUCGAAAUUAGUCCUUGUUUGUUCUCUCCCAUUAUUAAGUUCUUUUUAAAUAAAGUAGGGGGGAGUGUAGUGUUUUGACCGAAAUGACUAUGACCGUUCUGUCCUGACCUACUUUGGGACCGGUACGCAGUGAUACAUUGUAUGCUGAUUACCUGUGCAGGAGGAAAAUGAAACCAGACAGAUUAUGGACUCAAAUUCAACCCAUAAAAAAGCUUGGAACUUGCAGUCACUGAGUGUUCUUGUUUACAGUCAUGUGUUCAAUGCUGCCACAACAUAAAUAUUAUAGCUGGCUCUGGACUCGACCUUAUGCAUCUUAAAAUGAUCUUUGAACGCGAUGGUCUCAAGAACAUUUUUAUAAUGAAUAACUUUGAUGGUCAGCCCAGGGUCCCCAAUGCCAAGCGUCUUUUGGAGACACUUAUUCCAACCUGACGAAGUUCUUCAAAGAACUACCAUGACAAUCGUGUAUUUGUUUUGUUUGUCAUAAUAAGUUUAAUGUUUUAUAUCACUAGUAUCACUAGUCAUUGAUACAUUGAUAAAUCUAUUUUCCUUUAAACGUGUUUGAUUGAAUGAUUAUAUGUGCCUUGUUACUUAAUUAUUAAUGUUCUUAUUUCCCUGUAACAUUUUCAAGUCUUAUUUAUAGAAGAACGCAUUUCACGUGCAAUUUCAAACAAGGUUCGCAAAUCUUACUGCACUGAGUAGGUUCCAUCUCACACAUGAUAUAUGAGAUUAUGUAUGUUUAUAUGUUUAUGGGUUUAUUAUAGGCUUUUCCUCUUUUUUUAUCUUUUUAUAAUAAUUUUUGAACAUUUCGCUCAUCUUAAUGCUCACAAAUACAAAUCUCAAAUUCAGUAUGGCGUUUCUGGAAAAGGGGGGUAACCUUGAUUGUAAAGCGGGAACUUUUCGUUUUCACUGGUGACCCCCAUUUUUAGCUUAUUAUUAUAAAGCAAUGUCUUUGCCAUCAACUACUAGUUUCUGUAUAGUUUUUUGUUUGUUUGUAAGUUUUUCAUUGUUUGCAAAGUAUUUUGUAUUGUUUUCAUUGUGUUCAACAUGCUGUGCCAGUGCACGAAGUGUUAUGCCAUCAAAUUGUAGUUUUCAACUAUGUUAUUCAAAAUCUUCCUAUUUUUGGAGUGAGUAUAAAGAUUUCCAUUAUUUUUAUCUCUAAUUAUGCGUUAAGAACAAUAUUUAAAUCACCUCCCACUAAAAUGUUUUUAUCUUUGUUAUUUAUUUUAUUGGAAUGUAAUGUUUCAUAAAAUUUGGAUUCAUCUAUAUUCAGGCCGUAAACGUUUUUAAUGUUAAUUGUGUUUCGUGUAUUAUUAUCCCCCGCCAGAGGGGGAUUUCGUUUAUAGUGUUUCAAAAAAUAGGCUUGUUCUAUUAUUAGCACAAUAUUCAUAUUCAGUUUGUAAUCCUUCACAUACUUGUUAUUCCUCUCCCUUUAAAGCAUGAUGUGUUAUUUUACAGAGGUUGUUAUUUUCGACAUUCUUUCGUUUAUAGUGUUUCGAAAAAUAGGCUUCUUCUAUUAUUUGACUUUUAUUUGUUAUGUCUUUGCCAUUAACUACUAGUCUGUGAAUAGUUUUGUGUUUGCUUCUACGUUUUAAAAUGUUUGCACAGUAUUUUGUAUUGUUUUCAUUGUGUUCAACAUGAUGUGCCUGGCUCGAAGUAUUAUGCCAUUGAGGUGUGUGUGAUAAAUUCCUUCUAUUAUAAUUUUUUUUGUAAGAAUUUCCUUCUUCAAUGGAGGUGGUAUAAUUUGUGUUUCUUUUAUGCAUCUGUUUUUCAAGUGCUUCAAUGACUUUUAUGGCUUCAUUUUCAAGUUUGUGUGUUUCUUUUUUUUUUAGCUUACCUGAGCACACGUGCUCAUGGUGAGCUUUUGUGAUCGCCUUUUGUGCCUCGUCUGUCGUGCAGCGUCAACAUUUACCUUGUUAACACUUUAGAGGUCACAUUUAUUGUCCAAUCUUCAUGAAACUUGGUCAGAACAUGUGUCCCAUUAAUAUCUGUGACGAGUUCGAAAAUGCUUCUUGUUGUUGAAAAACCUGGGUGCCAGGGGGCGUGGCAGUUUUCCUAAUAUGGCUAUUGUAAAACCUUGUUAAGACUCUAGAAGUUACAUUUUUUGUCCAAUCAUCAUGAAACUUGGUCGGAACAUGUGUCCCAAUAAAAUCUUUGACAUGUUCAAAAAUGGUUCCGGUUGGAAGAAAAACAUGGCCGCCAGGGGCGGGGCAGUUUUCCUAUUAUGGCUAUAGUAAAACUUGUUCACACUGUAGAAGUCAAAUUUAUUGUCCAAUCUUCAUGAAACUUAUUCAGAACAUUUGUUCUAAUGAUAUCUUGGACGAGUUCGAAUAUGGUUCCGGUUGGUUGAAAAACAUGGCUGCCAGGUGGCGUGGCAGUUUUUCCUUAAAUGGCUACAGUAAAACCUUGUUAACACUCUAGAAGUCACAUUUUUAGUCCGUCAGAACAUGUUUCCCAAUAAAAUCUUAAAUGAGUUCGAAAAUGGUUCCAGUUGAAUGAAAAAAUGGCCACCAGUGGUCGUGGCAGUUUUCCUUAUAUAGCUUUAGUGUAUAGUAAAACCAUUUUAACACUCUAGAAGUCACAUUUAUUGUCCAAUCUUCAUGAAACUUAGUCAGAACAUUUCUUCAGACCAUAUCUCGGAUGAGUUUGAAAAUGGUUUUGGUCUGUUGAAAAACAUGGCUGCCAGGGGGCGGGCCAGUUUUCCUUACAUGGCUAUAGUAAAACCUUGUUAUAACGCUAGAAGUCACAUUUGUGGUACAAUGCCUAUGAAACUUGGUCAGAAUAUUUGUACUAAUGAUAUCUGGGCUCAGAUCGAAAAUGGUUGAGGUCCGUUUAAAAACAUGGCCGCAAGGGGGCGUGGCAUUUUUCCUUAUAUGGCUAUUUAGUAAUGUUAACACUAGAAGUCACACUAAUUAUCCAAUCUUUAUGAAACUUGAUCAGAACAUUUGUUCUAACAAUAGCUCAGCUGAGUUUGAAAAUGGUCAUGAUUCGUUGAAAAAUAUUGCCGCCGGGGGGGGGGGGGGCAGUUGACCUUAUAUGGCUUUAGUGAAAACUUGUUGACGCUAUAUUAGCCUCAUUUAUUGGCCAAUCUACAUGAAACUUGGUCAAAACAUUAUUUUGUCCCAAUGAAAUCUUAGCGAAGAUUGAAACUGGGUCAUAUGAGCUUAAAAACUAGGUCAAAUAUAAAAAAAACAUGUUGAAAGUCACUUUUUUGGUCUAAUCUUCAUGAAUCAGCUUGCAUUUGUCCAGAAUAGUCUAGUUCCUUUUGCUCUCAGGUGAGCGCCUUAGGGCCUAACGGCCCUCUUGUUUUAAAUGACAUGGAUCUUAUUGUUGUGUAAAGUAUCUUGUCUUUAAUUAUUUCCCAUAAGGUGUUUGGAUUUGCAUCUUUGUUUUCUUAAACUGUAUUGGUUAUUACCUGUUAUAUUUGUGUUUGAUAUUGUGUAUCUUUUCAGAAGCUAUUAUUUACUUUUAAAGUACCUUGGGCCUCUUUCAGGUUGUAUUUCAUGCAGUUAAAGUUCAACUAUCGAGUGAUCAGUCAUAAAUCCUGGUUUUAUGUUGCAUGUGUCGAUAAUGUUGCAAAUAGACUCGCAUAUUUAAAAAAAAUCUUAUCUCCAAAAUAUUGCUGGUUUUGUGUUUGAGUGCCAGGUGAAUUUUCUUUCAUUAUGAUUAACUGUAUGCCAUAUGUCUAUCAAAUUGUAGUUUUCAAUUAUGUUAUUCAAAAUGUUCAUUUUUUUGGAGUGAGUAUAAAGAUUUCCAUUUCUUUUAUUUCUAAUAAUGGGUUAAGAACAUUAUUGAAAUCCUCUCCGACUAUAAUGUUCUUAUCUUGGUUAUUUAUUAUAACAUUUGGAUUCAUCUAUGUUCGGACCGUAAACGUUCAUUAAUGUUAAUUGUGUUUCGUGUAUUUUUAUGUCCCCCACUAUAGUAGUGGGGGACAUAUUGUUUUUGCCCUGUCUGUUGGUCUGUCUGUUGGUCUGUUUGCGCUAACUUUAACAUUUUGCAAUAACUUUUACUAUAUUGAAGAUAGCAACUUCAUAUUUGGCAUGCAUGUGUAUCUCAUAAAGCUGCACAUUUUGAGUGGUGAAAGGUCAAGGUCAAGGUCAUCCUUCAAGGUCAGAGGUCAAAUAUAUGUGGCCAAAAUUGCUAAUUUUAUGAAAACUUUUGCAAUAUUGAAGAUAGCAACUUGAUAUUUGGCUUGCAUGUGUAUCUCAUGGGGCUGCACAUUUUGAGUGGUGAAAGGUCAAGGUCAUCCUUCAAGGUCAGAGGUCAAAUAUAUGUGGCCGAAAUCGCUUAUUUUAUAAAUACUUUUGCAAUAUUGAAGAUAGCAACUUGAUAUUUGGCAUGCAUGUGCAUCUCAUGGAGCUGCACAUUUUGAGUGGUGAAAGGUCAAGGUCAUCCUUCAAGGUCAGAGGUCAAAUAUAUGUGGCCCAAAUCGCUUAUUUUAUGAAUACUUUUGCAAUAUUGAAGAUAGCAACUUGAUAUUUGGCAUGCAUGUGUAUCUCAUGGAGCUGCACAUUUUGAGUGGUGAAAGUUCAAGGUCAUCCUUCACAAGGUCAGGGUCAUCCUACAAGGUCAAACAUCAUAUAGGGGGACAUUGUGUUUCACAAACACAUCUUGUUAUAUCUAUACUUGCUUGUCUGGCAAUCAUUAUUUCGUUCAAGUAAUCCACUGUUAUUCCUGUAUGACUUUUACUCAGACAAGCGAUGCCUUGUUUAUGUGUAUGUUUUCCGCUAAGAUAAAUAUCUCCGUCCCAACCAAUUUUCAAUGUUGUUGCUUAGGUAUGUUUUAGGUGACUUUCCUUUAUAAAAAAUACAUAUAUUACUUUUUUUUGUCUAACCAUUUGAAACUUUUAGUGCAUUUGUCUUUGUUAUUUAGCCCUUGUACAUUUACAAUACAUAUGUUGAUACUCACACAAAAGGACGACAAUUGCAUGAUACCAUUCUUGUUCCAAACAUUUUAAAAUCAUUUUGUAGAGCUAGAUUAUUAGUUAAUAGUUCAUUAUGUCAAGUUAUAUUAAGCUUUGAUGUUAAAAACAAUUACCUUCAAUGUUCUACAGGUUGUUGAUACAUUGUGUUCAUUAAAUUGAUCUCAGCA